GACGAACGCUGGCGGCGUGCUUAACACAUGCAAGUCGAACGGAAAGGCCCUGCUUUUGUGGGGUGCUCGAGUGGCGAACGGGUGAGUAACACGUGAGUAACCUGCCCUUGACUUUGGGAUAACUUCAGGAAACUGGGGCUAAUACCGGAUAGGAGCUCCUGCUGCAUGGUGGGGGUUGGAAAGUUUCGGCGGUUGGGGAUGGACUCGCGACUUAUCAGCUUGUUGGUGGGGUAGUGGCUUACCAAGGCUUUGGCGGGUAGCCGGCCUGAGAGGGUGACCGGCCACAUUGGGACUGAGAUACGGCCCAGACUCCUACGGGAGGCAGCAGUGGGGAAUAUUGCACAAUGGGCGGAAGCCUGAUGCAGCAACGCCGCGUGCGGGAUGACGGCCUUCGGGUUGUAAACCGCUUUCGCCUGUGACGAAGCGUGAGUGACGGUAAUGGGUAAAGAAGCACCGGCUAACUACGUG
rnacentral:rRNA from 1 species